GAGGUAUUUUAGUCAGAAUUUGGCGAGGUAGUUGUUCUCGUAGUAGGAUUUCAUUUUUAGUGUUUAUUUUAAAGGCAGGAUUUGAUCAGUGGUAUCCUUGACAACGAACCUGGCUAGCAGCACUUUUGGAUAGGGUAUCGGCAGGAUAGCUUAAGACGACAAAAUCUGCAGUAACUAGGACUCACGCACAGAUCACUGAGUGAGUGGAGGGAUGUAGAAAAGAGCAGGACAUUUGCAUGUUAACCUAAUUCUAUAAAUUGGGUGUCAUCAUCGUCAUCUCUUUUGCUUGUAACUGUCACGUGUCUUAAUAAAGUUGAAGAACUAUUGUACCCAGCCUUGGAUGUUUAUUAAUAA